AGCUACCUAAACGGGUCGUGAUGGACCGUAAGCACUUAGAUUAGGUUUCAUUUUAGUAUGUAGGCUUUGCUAAGCCAUAUCACACGAGUCUCCAUACUCGUUUGGUUUACGAACCCGCGUACUAUCAGAUCCUUCCGAUUUGGUCCGGUAUAUUAACAUAGCUACCUAUUAGGUGCCGUUUGAUAUCCCGUGAUCUUUAGCAUUAUCUGGUUGUUAUACAAGGAACUCAAAGCAAUCUCAGCAUGUGUGCUGUCUUGAGAUGAUUGUUGAUGCAUGCUAAAUUUAGGAUGGACUCGUGCCUUAGCAACUUUAAAACUUGGAAGAUCAUAGUUGUACUUAUGUGAUUGUAAUAGAACAACGAGUUCAUUUAAUCAAUAAAACAAUAUUUAAAUUUCCAUGUGUUAUGAAACAAUGAUUCUGU
rnacentral:lncRNA from 1 species